GAAAUGCGAUAAGUAAUGUGAAUUGCAGAAUUCAGUGAAUCAUCGAAUCUUUGAACGCACAUUGCGCCCCUUGGUAUUCCGAGGGGCAUGCCUGUUCGAGCGUCAUUACAACCCUCAAGCAUCGCUUGGUGUUGGGUGCUGCCCCUCGCGGGGCACACCCCAAAGUUCUCGGCGGCCUCGCCCCGCUUCAAGCGUCGUGGAACGUCUAAAACGCGUCUCGCUUUGAAAGUUUGGGUCGAUGCCUGCCGUGCAACCCGUACAAUCUCAAGUUUGACCUCGGAUCAGGUAGGGAUACCCGCUGAACUUAA
rnacentral:misc_RNA from 1 species